UAGGAAAGUCAUAAAUAUAUAAAUUAUAUUAUAUAAUUAAUAUAAUAAUAAAAUAAAUUAUAUAUUUUAUUUAUAAUAUUAUUUCUUUAUAAGAUAAAUAUUAUCUAAUUAAUAAUUAGAUUGAAUAAUAUUUAUAAAGAAAUAUAUAUAUAUAUAAAAAGUCAUUAUAUAAAUUUAAUUAUAAUUUAAAUAAAUUUUAUAUAAAUUAAUAUAAUAUUAAUAAAGUAAUUAGUAUAAAUAAAUAAUAUGAAAAUAAAACUUAAUAAAUAUAUAAAUAUAGUCCAUAUAUAUAUAUUAAUAAAAAGUAAUAUAUAUAUAUAUAUUGGAAUAGUUAUAUUAUUAUACAGAAAUAUGCUUAA
rnacentral:misc_RNA from 1 species